rnacentral:lncRNA from 1 species
AUUUUGGGUAAACUCUUCUCCUUAUUUUUUGUAUAUUUCCAUGUUUAUACCAUAACUAGCCAGUUGACUAAUACAUACACUAAUGUUUAGAUGAUAAGGAAUGGUAGCAUUCUGUAUUAUCCUUGUUAAAUAUGGAGCAGAACAUAAACAAGGCCCUUAACACUGUUGGCUGCUACUUCUGUAAGAGUAAUGUGUUGUAUACAGAAAUGUAACAGUAAUCUGUCUGUAAUAUGUCUCCAGUCUCCUCGCAUAGUCUCCAGCGGCAGAGAUUGACCCAUAAAUACUAGAUUUACUUCCUCUGGGGUUAUUGAAGAAAGUAAAGCAAAGAUUAUAUUCAGUAAGCAGAAGCUGGCAAUGACCUAGACCAUUUGCAGAUUUCAAGGUGAAACAAGUCAAGUCAUCAUCUUUUCUGUGAUGUUCCCUUUGAGUUGACUGAUACAGUGUACUUACUUCAGGAGCUUACUGGAAGUUUUCAGUCUGAAAAGGUGACCUGGAAUAACAUAUAUACAAACCAGCAUACCAAGACUAUCCGAGCUGUUGUAAUCUCCAGCUAGCUAAAAAGUGCCAAACCACUAAGUUUUCAACAGAAGUUUCUAAAAUAAAUUUAUAAUCUCAAACU